GGGGGAGUUCCCGAGUGGCCAAAGGGGACCGGCUGUAAACCGGUUGGCUCCGCCUUCGGAGGUUCGAAUCCUCCCUCCCCCA
rnacentral:tRNA from 4 species